rnacentral:rRNA from 1 species
GCCAUGAUGGAUCACAUGUCCCUUCGGUCAUCCAUGAAACCCGUUGUGUCCCCCCCCAUCCUGAUCGUACCACAACCGCAACAGGACUCCAAGGUGAUCAGCCUCUAGGCGGGAGAGACCAUGACUCAGGGAAGUCGGCAAACUAGCUCCGUAACCUCGGGAGAGGAGUCUGAUCGAUCAGAACCGGCACGGACCGAGGGAUCCCGACUACUAACAUAGCGUCGUGCCAGUCGUCAUGGAUGCGUACACGACGUGAUUUCUGCCCAGUGCCAUGACCGUCACCAUGAAGAGGUUCAUCCAAGCCCUGGUAAACGGCGGGAGUAACUAUGACUCUCUUAAGGUAGCCAAAUGCCUCGUCGGGUAAUUUCCGACGUGCAUGAAUGGAUCAACGAGGAUCCCACUGUCCCAAGUCAUGCCUCCGUGAACCUACAGACCCGGGAACGGGCGGGUGUUGGUCGGCGGGCAAGAAGACCCUUUUGAGCUUGACUCCAAUCCGAUCCUGGGGGAUGGGAUCAUCGGUGCAGCAUACAGGGGAGGCCGCUUCCAUGAGAUACCCUGACGUUGUUCACCAUCCCACUCACCGACUUACAUCGGCACACGGUCGGAUGGGGAGUUUGGCUGGGGCGGCGCGCCUAGAUCACACCGCAGGCGUCCUAUGGGCUCGGAAACCUCACGUGGAGCAUAAGGGCAUAAGACUACCCCCUGUCCCGGUACUUGCCGUGAAAGCGUGGCCUAACGAUCCUUCAACCGCUCCGGUAAUCCGAGCGUGGAGGUGACAGAAAAGUUACCACAGGGAUAACUGGCUUGUGGCCGCCAAGCGCCCAUAGCGACGUGGCUUUUUGAUCCUUCGAUGUCGGCUCUUCCUACCGUCCGCAUGCAUCGGUGCGGAAGCGUCGGAUUGUUCACCCGUCUAAGGGAUCGUGAGCUGGGUUUAGACCGUCGUGAGACAGGUUAGUUUUAUCCUACCGACCAUCUCCAUGCGUCCAGUACGUCGGGUCAGUACGAGAGGAACACCCGUCGCGAGCCUCCGAUCUCCCGGUUGUUUGACUUGACAGUGCCGGUCUGUCGCGCUCGGGGGACUAGCACUGAACGCCUCUAAGUGUCCAUCCCACCUACUCGCAUGGGUUGAGGGGCUUCCCCUCGAUUCGCCCGGGUUGACGACCCUUUUCCGACCUACUGUACGGCGUGGAGCUUCUUGCGACCGCCUGAGGUUUGGUUCGGGUUGGCAUUCCCCCCGAG